UAGCCCGGAUUUACACAGUUUCCGUCACAACAGGCGACAUGCUGGUGCUGGUGCGCUUCAUAGUGAUGACCCUGUUAAACAUGUGGGUGCUCCUCACAGUAAUUUACUACCAAAGACAAAGCAGCCAUAAGAAAGAGGACUGAGUUUAUCCCUCUAAGUGAGACAGACUGGUACAACAGUUAUGUACGCACCUUGUGUAAACCUUCCCUUAAAAUGUGCUUUUAUUGUUUUUACCUCGGUGUCGGACGUCACAUUUCUCUCAAACAUUCCACUGUCUAAAAUGUAAACGCCAAUCCAAUGUGAUACCAACGAAUACUGUUAUGACGUUGCAAAAGCAACUCAAGCCAAGUAUUUCCACAAUGUUCUUCUCAGGACGAUGCUGUGUUUUAAGUAGCUUUUAUAUGAGGUUUCAACGUGAACAUUCUUGUUUUGUGCUGUUACCAAACCUUUGUCUCUGUUUUAAUUAUGAAAGAAUUAAUAAUACAGUACAAACUAUAAAAGCAGACAGAUAUCAGUUCUAGGAUAUGUUGCUUGUUCAACAGAGAAUGGAAUGUUUUUACCACCAAAUAAAUUGGGUUUCUGAGUC